rnacentral:rRNA from 1 species
CGCUGGCGGCGUGCCUAAUGCAUGCAAGUCGGGCGGGGUGGACUUCGGUUCACUCACGCGGCGGACGGGUGCGUAACACGUGGGCAACCUACCCUGGGGCGGGGGAUAGCCACCGGAAACGGUGGGUAAUUCCGCGUACGUUUGCUUGCCGGUGGGGCGAGUAAAGAAAGGCGAGUAAUCGCCACCCUUGGCGGGGCCUGCGGCCGAUUAGCUAGACGGUGGGGUGACGGCCUACCGUGGCGAUGAUCGGUAGCUGGUCUGAGAGGACGGCCAGCCACACGGGGACUGAGAGACGGCCCCGACUCCUACGGGAGGCGGCAGCAAGGAAUCUUCCGCAAUGGGCGAUGAGCCUGACGGAGCAACGCCGCGUGGGGGAUGAGGCCCUUCGGGGUGUAAACCCCUUUUCUGUGGGAAGAAGAUCUGACGGUACCACAGGAAGAAGGACCGGCU